rnacentral:lncRNA from 1 species
GGACAUUGGGGACAGGUGGGAGCAGGAGGUUAGGGGCUGGGAACAUUGGGGACAGGUGGGAGCAGGAGGUUAGGGGCUGGGGACAUUGGGGACAGGUGGGAGCUGAAGCUCAUUGGUGGGUUCCAGGUUCAGUAAAAGAACUUCUCAAAAAGGGGGUGGUAGAGAGAAACUGACACCCAAUGUCAGAUUCUAAGCAAGCACACACACACACACACACACACACACACACACACACAUGCACACACACACACACCACACACACACACACCCCAUACACACACCACACACACGCACACACACACACACACACACACACACACACACACACCACACACACACACACCACACACACACACACACACACACACACACCACACACACACACACACACACAACACACACACACACACACACACACACACACACACACAACACACACACACACACACACACACACACACACACACACACACACACACACACACACCAUACACACACCAAGAAAAAGAGAAAAGGGCUGGAAAUAACCACAAAAUAUUCUGUUGACCAGAAAUAGGAAGAGGGCAAACGUUUUCUGUUUUCAAUAUAUUUUUAUAUACCUAAAGGUUAUUGAGAAUUCCAAAGACUCUUGUGUAGGUACACAUAGAUGUUUUAUAAUUCAAAUUUUAUUAUUUUAUGUGUGGGGUGGUUUGCUUACAUGUAUGAAUGGACACCACGUGUAUGCAGUGCCAAAGCAAUCCAGAAGAGGGCACCAGAUUCCCUGGAAUUGGCGUUACAGCCAAUUGAGAGUCACCGUGAGUGCCGGGGUUUAAACCUAGAUCCUAUGGAAGAGCAGCCAGUACGAUUAACUGGUGACCCAACUUUCCAGCCCCAAAGAUCCUUACAAAUCCGUUCUUGUUUUGUUUUGAUUUUGAGAAAAGGUCUCACUAUGGAACGCUGUAUAGAGAAGACCAAGAGAGACUCAACAUGAUCUAUCUGCCUCUGCCUUGGGAAGGCUAGAAUUAAAGGCAUUCACCACCACACCCAGCUUUCCCUGGUUAUGCUUAUUAAUAUGACUGCAUUAGAAAUUAAAACUGAGCAGAGCAUGGUGGCGCACGCCUUUAAUCCCAGCACUUGGGAGGCAGAAGCAGGCGGAUUUCUGAGUUCGAGGCCAGCCUGGGCUACAAAGUGAGUUCCAGGACAGCCAGGGCUACAGAGAAACCCUGUCUCGAAUAACCAAAAAAAAAAAAAAAAAAAAAAAAAAAAAAAAAAAGAAAGAAAGAAAAAAGAAAUUAAAACUGAGGGUUGGAGAGAUGGCUCAGAGGUUGAAAACACUAGGUGCACUUCUAGAGGACUCAGGUUCAAAUUCUAGCACGUGGCAGCUCACUGUAACUCCGAGAUAUACACUCUCACAUAGAUGAACAUGCAGGCUAAACACCAAUGCACAAAAAGUAAACAAAAAUAAAUAAAUACAACAUAAAUUAAAUGUGGCUGGGCAUGGUUUACAUAGUAAGUGCCAGGCCAACCAAGGCUCCAUAGUGAGAUCCUGUCUCAAAAAAAAAAAAAAAAAAAAAAAGAUACUCCAGAGUAAAAGAACCAUCCAACCAUCCCUAACUCCCCAAAUCAAACCAACAACAACAAAAAUAAAUCUUAAAAAAAACUUUAAAAUGAUUUUAUUUGUAUUUUAUGCACAUUGUUAUUUUGCUUGUAUGUCUAUGUGAAGGCGUUAGAUCCCCUGGAAUUAUAAACAGUUGAGCUGCAAUGUGGUUGCUGGGAAUUGAACCCAGGACUUCUGGAAGAACAGCUGGUACUCUCAACCCCUGAGCCAUCUCUCCAUUCCAUAUAAAUGAAAAGA